GUUGAAGAACGUAGCGAAAUGCGAUAAGUAGUGUGAAUUGCAGAAUUCAGUGAAUCAUCGAAUCUUUGAACGCACAUUGCGCCCUCUGGUAUUCCGGAGGGCAUGCCUGUUCGAGCGUCAUUAAAACUACUCAAGCUAAGGUUUUACCUUCUGCUUGGUCUUGGGUUUGAGGAUUCAAAAUCCUCUCUCCGAAAUCCAGUGGCGAAUUGUUUGAGCUGUAGACGUAGUAAAUCAUUCUACCCGUUGCAAGCGAGAAUAAUAUUCAGCCAUAACCCCCAUACUUUUCUAGUUUGACCUCGGAUCAGGUAGGGAUACCCGCUGAACUUAAGCAUAUCAAUAAGCGGAGGA
rnacentral:misc_RNA from 1 species